CCCAUUUUGUAGUUGAAGAAACUGUAGCACCCAGAAGCUACAUGACUUACCCAAAACCAAAUGAUUGGUUUAAUUAUCUGAGAUUAGAUCUGAACUCAGACCUUCAUUUCUCUAGGACCAGCUACUUCAGAAUUUCAUCAUAGCUGGUUUCCUUUGUAAUUCCAUAUAUUUUAUUUGAUAUAUUUAAAAACACUAUUCUAAGGGAUCUACAGGCUUCACCCAGUUGCCAAAAGGUGCCAUGAUCCAAGAAAGAUGGCAAGUCCUUGCUCUGACUACUUGUACCAUGCUAUGCCCUGUGUCAGCCACACUAGGUUCUUAGUUAGGAAAGUUUAGACACACCAAUUCCCCUUCAGUUCCCCUCUUUUGGAAAUGAAAGAAACUCUCAGCUGUGGAGUUCAUCUGAAGAGGGAUGUGACUAGGUUGUACAGAGAUCCAACCAUUAAAAGACAACAUUUCAACAUUUACUUAAGAGCAAUUUAGAUGUGAAUUGUGAGCAUGUUUAAUCUUGUUUAAAAUGGAAUCUCUUUGAACUCCCUGGAAAUGACAGGAAAAGCUGAAAAUUAAGCUGAUAUUUACUUUGGAAACAAGGCCACUGACUCUCAGCAAAACAUUUCAUUUUCAGGGCACCCAGACACCCAAGUUGAUGCUGUAGUUAGAGUCAUACAGAACAAAGAAUAAGAAUCUUCUAUAAUCUAGUACUCAACUGUGCACUGCCUAGUAUUUCUCUUUAGUUUUCAAAAUGUGUCCAUGUUGCCUCUACAAAUGGAUUAUGAUGAUGAGGAUGAUGAGGACAAGGAUGAGGAUGCUGGAGAGGUGACUCUGGCUGAGAGUGUGCUAGGCGUUUCGACAUCUUGGAGUGUUGGUGGUAUCAAAUUCAGAGAUUUUAGGAUGUUGUUAUUUGAAAGGACCCCUAGAAAACAACAUGGAUUUAUAUUUUUUUCCCUAUGAAAAAAAUGGCUUCUACUUUCUAGACUCAAGUUACAUACAUCUAAAAAGAAGACAGUGAAAUUCAUCAAGAGAAUGUUGGAGGAAUCUAUCUGCCAAGAUAAACGCAGGAACUAUGUGAACACAACUACAAAACACUCUCCACACAAUUAAAACUAGAUCUAAACAAUUGGAAAAACUUCAAUUGCUCAUGGGUAAGACAAGAUAACAUAGUAAAAA
rnacentral:lncRNA from 1 species